CCCAGACUCCUACGGGAGGCAGCAGUGGGGGAUAUUGCACAAUGGGGGGAACCCUGAUGCAGCGACGCCGCGUGGGUGAAGGAGUGCUUCGGCAUGUAAAGCCCUAUCGGCAGGGAAGAAGCAAGACGGUACCUGACUAAGAAGCCCCGGCUAACUACGUGCCAGCAGCCGCGGUAAUACGUAGGGGGCGAGCGUUAUCCGGAUUCACUGGGUGUAAAGGGAGCGUAGACGGCCAUGCAAGCCAGAUGUGAAAGCCCGGGGCUCAACCCCGGGACUGCAUUUGGAACUGUGUGGCUGGAGUGUCGGAGAGGCAGGCGGAAUUCCUAGUGUAGCGGUGAAAUGCGUAGAUAUUAGGAGGAACACCAGUGGCGAAGGCGGCCUGCUGGACGAUGACUGACGUUGAGGCUCGAAAGCGUGGGGAGCAAACAGGAUUAGAUACCCCAGUA
rnacentral:rRNA from 1 species